rnacentral:rRNA from 1 species
GAUAAACGCUGGCGGCGUGCCUAAUACAUGCAAGUCGAGCGCAGGGGGGAAGGGUGAGUAAGACGUGGAAAACCUCAUAUACGACUGGGAUAACUUCGGAUAACAGUAGCUAAAAGUGAUACUCAUAGCUGGAUCCUCGCUGCAUUAGCUAGUCGGUGAGGUAACGGCUUAACAAGGCAACGAUGCAUAGCAGACCGGGGAGGGUGAUCGGCCACACUGGAACUGAGACCCGGUCCAGACGCCUACGUGAGGCAGCAGUAGGGAAUCUUCCGCAAUGGGCGAAAGCCUGACGGAGAAACGCCGCGUGAGUGAUGAAGGUCUUCGGAUCGUAAAACUCUGUUAUUAGGGAAGCGGUACCUAAUCAGAAAGCCACGGCUAACUACGUGCCAGCAGCCGCGGUAAUUC